rnacentral:tRNA from 1 species
GUGUAAUAAGUAUAGAGUUAUAUUAAGUUGUGGUCUUAAAGGGGAGGUUUUCAUUACAUA